UACGGAGGGUGCAAGCGUUAAUCGGAAUUACUGGGCGUAAAGCGCGCGUAGGCGGCUUGAUAAGUCGGAUGUGAAAUCCCUGGGCUCAACCUGGGAACUGCAUUCGAUACUGUCUGGCUAGAGUGUGGGAGAGGGUGGUGGAAUUCCCGGUGUAGCGGUGAAAUGCGUAGAUAUCGGGAGGAACAUCAGUGGCGAAGGCGACCGCCUGGCCCAACACUGACGCUGAGGUGCGAAAGCGUGGGUAGCAAAC
rnacentral:rRNA from 1 species